GGCACAAGCGGUGGAGCAUGUGGUUUAAUUCGAUGAUACGCGAGGAACCUUACCUGGGCUCAAAUGUAUGUUGACGUAUUCUGAAAGGGAUACUUCUUCGGACAAUAUACAAGGUGCUGCAUGGUUGUCGUCAGCUCGUGCCGUGAGGUGUCGGGUUAAGUCCCAUAACGAGCGCAACCCCUACCUUUAGUUGCCAUCAGGUAAUGCUGGGGACUCUAAAGGAACUGCCUACGCAAGUAGUGAGGAAGGCGGGGAUGACGUCAAAUCAGCACGGCCCUUACGUCCAGGGCUACACACGUGCUACAAUGGCCGAUACAGAGGGCAGCUACCUGGUGACAGGAUGCAAAUCUCCAAAGUCGGUCUCAGUUCGGAUCGGAGUCUGCAACCCGACUCCGUGAAGUUGGAUUCGCUAGUAAUCGCGCAUCAGCCAUGGCGCGGUGAAUACGUUCCCGGGCCUU
rnacentral:rRNA from 1 species